UUGUCUUUCAACAUAUGAUUAAUAUAUGAUAGUAGAGCAAGUGAAUGAAUAGUGGCAGGUAGGUGAUUCACCUACCUGCCUUUCUACUUCACGCUCUUAGUGUCCUCCGGCCCGCCACGUUGUGGAAGAGUUUGACACCUGUUUUGUAGGUUUUAUUAUCUGGCGAUCUCAUCACUGUCAAUAUUUCACUUUUAUCGUUGUUUGGUGAUGGAUUUCUCUCUUGAUCUUGUGCUGAAAAUGGUCUGAUGAUGGUGAUGACGGAAGACCGUUUGGGUGUACGAUGGUAAACCUGCUGUCAAUGGAUUAUGGAAGGUACUCCAAUGAUGGCGAAGUUGUAGCGUCGUUGAGGUUUACGUUGCUAAACCUUAAAUCGCUGGAUUUUGUGCGGCGUUGGCCAUAAGGAAGGGCUUUUAGGAUUUUUGAUACUAAGCCCUAAAUCAUUCGUUAUAGGGCAUGCAUGUGUCGUCACUUAGGGUUUACAAUAAUAAGCCCUAAAUUUGUCACUGGUACACACGAGGCUAGAUGAGUCCUGAAAUCAAGUCAGUAUGUCGCCAUGGCGUGGCAGCUGUGGAGGAUGGCAGGUUAUCGCCUGCAACCCCUAUUGCAGCCAUGGUGGUUUGGUCCUUUUGCAUUCUCUGAGCCUCAUGAGUUGUUAAAUGUUGUUUGGAGCUUAGUAUUUGGUUUUCUUCAUGUUGAAUAAACUUAGCUGUUAGAAAUGUUCAGCCAGAUCCUACUGUGGUACGUGAGACGGUGGAUGAAAUUAAUAUAUGUUAUAUGUAUAUGUGUUUUGUAGGCAUAUAUUCACCAAACGCUUACUGUCAGUUUGUGUGGGAGCUCUUUAAUGAUCCAGAGAGAUUCAGGUGUCGGUCGACUGCCGCUACCAUCACCACCGUCAUAAGGCCUAUUUAUCAUAUGCCUUUUAUGCUUCAAUAACUAAACAAGUGUGUUAUAUUUACGAUUAGUUAUUCCAAUUUUAAUAUGAAAUCUAUUGUUUGCAACUAAUAUUAGAGUUAUGGAUCCUAUGAGAAAAUUCAGAUCCACAUGAUUAGGUAAUCGGCCCAGAAAGAAAGAGUUGAUAAAUGGACAAUGAAACAAGACACAAAUGUUGUUCGAAUGACAACUACCUGUGUUGCUUCUAAAAGGGGUCUAGAUAUUGAUGCAAGUGUAGAUGUGCUUGACGACGAGUUAAUGUAAGUUUGUUUUAUAUAUUGCAUAAAAAAUGUAUGUUUUUGUUUA